rnacentral:rRNA from 1 species
GACGAACGCUGGCGGCGUGCUUAACACAUGCAAGUCGAACGGAAAGGCCCUGCUCUUGUGGGGUGCUCGAGAGGCGAACGGGGGAGAAACACGCGUGUAACCCGUCCUUGACUGAGGGAGAACACCAGGAAACUCGGGAUAAUACCGGAGAUGAGCUCCUGAAGCACGGGGGGGGAUGGUAAGUUACGGCGGUUGGGGAUGGACUCGCGGCUUAUGAGCUUGUUGGGGGGGUAGGGGCUUACCAAGGCUUUGGCGGGUAGCCGGCCUGGGAGAGUGGACGGCCACCAUGGGCCUGCGAUACGGCCCAGUAUCCUACGGGAGGCAGCAGUGGGGAGUCUUGCGCAGUGGGCGGAAGCCUGAUGCAGCAACGCCGCGUGCGGGAUGACGGCUUUCGGGUGGUGAACCGAUGUCGACUUUGCUGAAGCGUGAGUGACGGUAAUGGGUAAAAAAGCCCCGGCUAACUACGUG